rnacentral:rRNA from 1 species
AUGCAAGCAUGUUCCUUAUUACUUGGUAGACCAUGGCAAUUUGAUAAAAAUUCUGUACACCAUGGUAGAAACAAUCACUAUACUCUUGUUCAUAAGGAUAAAAAUAUUACUUUGCUUCCUAUGACUCCUGAUUCCAUUUUGAAAGAUGAUAUUAAUAGAGCUAAUAAAGCACAACAGGAGAAGAAUAAGAGUGAAAAUCAGAUUGUGGCAAAAGAAUUUGAGCAACAAAUGAAGCCUAAUAAUAAACCAUCUAGUGUUGCUUCUGAAAUUAAAUUGAAAAGUGCAUGUUUAUUUGCCACCAAAUCUGAUAUUGAUGAGCUAGAUUUCAGCAAAUCUGUUUGCUAUGCUUUUGUGUGCAAAGAGGCAUUAUUUUCAUUCGAGGACGUGCCUUCCUCUUUGCCUCCAGCUGUCACUAACAUUUUGCAGGAGUUCGCUGACGUUUUUCCACAAGACGUGCCACCGGGAUUACCGCCUAUUCGAGGGAUUGAGCAUCAGAUUGACUUAAUUCCCGGUGCUUCACUGCCAAACCGUGCACCAUACCGUACCAAUCCAGAGGAGACGAAGGAGAUUAUGCGUCAAGUACAAGAGCUUCUCGACAAAGAUGCGGCUCGUCGCUAUCUUCAAUUUGAGUACUCACGGAGCCAAAACGGACUUCGUAUGAGGAAGAUAAACCUGUUUUACUGA